UACGUAGGUGACAAGCGUUGUCCGGAUUUACUGGGCGUAAAGAGCGCGCAGGCGGUCGUUCAAGUCGAGUGUGAAAGCCCCCGGCUCAACCGUGGAGGGUCAUUGGAAACUGGGGAACUUGAGUGCAGAAGAGAAAAGCGGAAUUCCACGUGUAGCGGUGAAAUGCGUAGAGAUGUGGAGGAACACCAGUGGCGAAGGCGGCUUUUUGGUCUGUAACUGACGCUGAGGCGCGAAAGCGUGGGGAGCAAACAGG
rnacentral:rRNA from 1 species